rnacentral:tmRNA from 1 species
GGGGCUGGCAUGGUUUUGACAGCAUGUGAGAUGGUAUGUAAGCAUGCAGUGUGUGGUGACACGUCACUUUAACAGUGUCACGGACGAAUAAACGGCGAAACAAAUUAUGCUCUCGCAGCCUAAGCGAAGUUUAGUAACUUAGGCUUUAAUUCGGUACCAGGUACCGGAGCGAGACGUCUUCCGGGCGGCCUGGCCGCGAGCCUGCCCGAUAAGGAGGCGCGUGAAAAUCGGGGCUGGCCCGAAGGUUGUUCCGGCCUGAGGGCGAGAAAAUAAGGAACUAAGGUUCAUCAGGGUUUUCCUGCACCCGGAUGCUCCCGACAACAAAGCAGGAAUAAGCAUGUAGAAAGCGUAUGGUCUCCUUGUCUGGACGCGGGUUCGACUCCCGCCAGCUCCACAU